rfam:Camelus ferus unplaced genomic scaffold scaffold768, whole genome shotgun sequence.
GAGGGUAUAGUUCAGUGGUACAGCGCAUGCUUAGCAUGUGUGAGGUCCUGGGUUCAAUCCCCAGUACCUCCA